rnacentral:rRNA from 1 species
GGGUCCACCUCCCACCCGUGUUUAUUUUACCUUGUUGCUUCGGCGGGCCCGCCUUAACUGGCCGCCGGGGGGCUUACGCCCCCGGGCCCGCGCCCGCCGAAGACACCCUCGAACUCUGUCUGAAGAUUGUAGUCUGAGUGAAAAUAUAAAUUAUUUAAAACUUUCAACAACGGAUCUCUUGGUUCCGGCAUCGAUGAAGAACGCAGCGAAAUGCGAUACGUAAUGUGAAUUGCAAAUUCAGUGAAUCAUCGAGUCUUUGAACGCACAUUGCGCCCCCUGGUAUUCCGGGGGGCAUGCCUGUCCGAGCGUCAUUUCUGCCCUCAAGCACGGCUUGUGUGUUGGGCCCCGUCCUCCGAUCCCGGGGGACGGGCCCGAAAGGCAGCGGCGGCACCGCGUCCGGUCCUCGAGCGUAUGGGGCUUUGUCACCCGCUCUGUAGGCCCGGCCGGCGCUUGCCGAUCAACCCAAAUUUUUAUCCAGGUUGACCUCGGAUCAGGUAGGGAUACCCGCUGAACUUAAGCAUAUCAAUAAGANCGGAGGUACGAGUGAGGGCCCUCUGGGUCAACCUCCACGUGUUUAUUUUACCUUGUUGCUUCGGCGGGCC